UACGGGGGGGGCACGCGUUGUUCGGAAUUACUGGGCGUAAAGGGCUCGUAGGCGGCCAACUAAGUCGGACGUGAAAUCCCUCGGCUUAACCGGGGAACUGCGUCCGAUACUGGAUGGCUUGAGUUUGGGAGAGGGAUGCGGAAUUCCAGGUGUAGCGGUGAAAUGCGUAGAUAUCUGGAGGAACACCGGUGGCGAAGGCGGCAUCCUGGACCAACACUGACGCUGAUGAGCGAAAGCCAGGGGAGCAAACGGG
rnacentral:rRNA from 1 species